GAUGAACGCUGGCGGCGUGCCUAAUACAUGCAAGUCGAGCGAACAGACGAGGAGCUUGCUCCUCUGACGUUAGCGGCGGACGGGUGAGUAACACGUGGAUAACCUACCUAUAAGACUGGGAUAACUUCGGGAAACCGGUGCUAAUACCGGAUAAUAUAUUGAACCGCAUGGUUCAAUAGUUCAAGACGGUUUUGCUGUCACUUAUAGAUGGAUCCGCGCUGCAUUAGCUAGUUGGUAAGGUAACGGCUUACCAAGGCAACGAUGCGUAGCCGACCUGAGAGGGUGAUCGGCCACACUGGAACUGAGACACGGUCCAGACUCCUACGGGAGGCAGCAGUAGGGAAUCUUCCGCAAUGGGCGAAAGCCUGACGGAGCAACGCCGCGUGAGUGAUGAAGGUCUUCGGAUCGUAAAACUCUGUUAUUAGGGAAGAACAAAUGUGUAAGUAACUAUGCACGUCUUGACGGUACCUAAUCAGAAAGCCACGGCUAACUACGUG
rnacentral:rRNA from 1 species